rnacentral:rRNA from 1 species
UACGUAGGGGGCGAGCGUUGUCCGAAUUCACUGGGCGUAAAGCGCGCGUAGGCGGGUUUUUAAGUUGGGGGUGAAAUCCCGAGGCUCAACCUCGGAACUGCCUCCAAAACUGGAAGCCUUGAGGUUUGGAGAGGGAAGUGGAAUUCCAGGUGUAGCGGUGAAAUGCGUAGAUAUCUGGAGGAACACCCGUGGCGAAGGCGGCUUCCUGACCAUAUCCUGACGCUGAGGUGCGAAAGCUAGGGGAGCGAACGGGAUUAGAUACCCCGGUAGUCCUAGCCGUAAACGAUGGAUACUAGGUGUUAGAGGUAUCGACCCCUCUAGUGCCGCAGCUAACGCAUUAAGUAUCCCGCCUGGGGAGUACGACCGCAAGGUUGAA